rnacentral:lncRNA from 1 species
AGGUUCUCAAUUCAUAACAUUCAAUGUCCUCUACCCGACAUGGUAAACAGCUGGGCGGGGGAAAUGCACAGUAGGUGAAAACGAGACGUGUCCUUAACUCAAGGUGUAAGCAACUGGCAAACUCAAGAAAUGGAAGAGCGCUUGUUCAGCUUAAAUGGUUUGUUGUCCUGAUGGUGCACUUUAAAUUACUACUACUCAAUUUUCACAUCGAACCUUGGUAAUACUUUAAGUUGAAUGUUCGAGGUAUGUCUACAGAGUCCCUGCUGUCUAUACAGCUGCUGUAUGAACGGUUCCCUGCCUGCAGAGAAGAAGGCUGCUUCUGGAAGGUGUGGACAGGACACUUCAGACCUGGAAUAUUUUACAAGGGAUUUUGUGUUUUGUUUUCUUUCCUUACACCAUGUCUUCUUCUUCUCUGAUUAUGGUACAAAACUUUUCUCUACUCUUUGAAGUCUCAUGUCAUAAAAAGUGAACCCCUAGUUAACUCCUAAAUGAAAAUCACUGUGACUAGGGCUAAUCUUAAAGCUAACAGUCCUGAGGUCAGCAGGGCCUCACUCCUGACAACCACCCUGGACUUCCCAAGGAAGCCCAGGGUCAUUUCGCCUGAGCAAAGAGACUAGCAUUUGAUCCCAAGACUUCUAAACCUUACACUUAUACCCUGAAUGAGUUCGCACAGUGACCCAAGGUAAUGGAACAGUUUUGGUUAACAAGUCAGCUCCUGAUCGCUUCUUUACAAAAAUGAUAAGUGAUAUACAUUCUUCUAAGGUUUACCUGAGUCAUGCUGAACAUGUUCACAUAUUCCCUGAAACCCAUGAUAUAAAUGUGUAUACUAAUACGCCACGUGGUGGAUGAGAGCCACGUCCUGAGAUCAUAAUUCAACUUGGGUUGUGUCUGGUUUAAAAAUUUUCGUGUGUCUGUCUAUCUGUCCUCCUGAAAUGAACAUAAAAAGUGAAAGACUUCAUCUUUUCUUGAAAAAGUGGGAAGAUAAAACGGCAGUUUGGCAGUUUAUAUUCCUUCCAACCAUUUUAUGCUAUGGAUGGUUACCACCCACCAAUUCUCACCACUCCCGGGAAUCAGUCAUUCCUGGAAGAAAAUGGGGCAUUGCCUUCUGCUGAUGUCCUCUUUCUCCUUUCUGUUCGAUCUAACCUACCAAACGACAAACUCAAUUGUAAAACUGUUAAAAAGCAUGUGUUCCGAGGUCUCCUAUAUUAAAUGGGAGGGUUAGGAAACUAUUUUUACUGACUCUUCAGAUGUUAACCAUUUUGGAAAAUCUGUAACUCUACACAACGUGAAGAAGACUCUUUAUAGACUAAACCAAAUUUCUACUUAAAGAAAUCUAUUCCUCACUUAUCAUUUACAGGUUUUUUUUUUUAAAUUCUCAAGUGAAUCAAGAUUGUGACGUCACUUGUGCUUUAGUCCCACCACAGUGGGAUCUAAACCUGCUGCACGAUUUCAUUUUAGGGAAGUGACUGUCCACUGGCCAUAUUUCAGGAGAAGAAUUUGUUAUCGGUUCAUUUGAUUUUGCUGGGCUAAUGCACUAACACACUCUCAAGGAGCUGUUUUAACUGAUAAUCAGAACUCAAUUCUCAAGGGGGAGCGAGGGAGGGCUGUGCACAGAUGGGGAAGAAGAAAUGCAAAACAAAAAUCUCUCCUGGCUACAGUCUGUAUUCUAUAAAUCUGAGGACAGAGGAAGUCAGUGUCUUUGGUCUCUAAUUCAGAUCCCUUGAGGUGAGCUAACCACGUCAGAGAUUCUGGGAUGGCUAACAGCCCUGGUGUGACCCGGCCCUUCCACUGCCACCCUGUGGAACGAGGGCCCCGAUACACUGGAAGAGCUGAGCUAUGGCUAUCAGCACGUCAGAUGUCUUCUCCUUCUGGAGAAAACAAGGAUUCGGGACAGGAGCCAUUAAAGCUCAAGACCAGGAAGGGGACGAAAAGGUAAAAAGCCCGAUAAAAUAAAUCCGUGAAGGUAAACCAAAAGAAAGUCAUUCCUUAAUAGGCAGUUUUGAUAAGUGCACCUUCAGGUCUACAAAAACAUUUCAGCACAUUAUAGUGCAAGGGGUAAGAGCUUUGUCAGACUUCGCAUGCCUAUGCUACACAGAUAAUCCCCGUACUCCAUUCCUACGGACUUGGUUGUAGUGAUCUACAGAUGGAUAAGCAGCAUUCAUUUUCCCCAUACCACCCAAAUUCAUAACAACUCCUCUCCGAUCCCAGGUCGAUAGGUUCACCGCAUGUAGUACUUUUUCCUGUAACACAUGCAGAUGACUCAGGAGUCCAGCGCGUAACCACGAGAGGUAAACCAGGCAGCCAAAGACAAUCUCAUCAGUCUUGUCCCAUUUUCUCCUCCUCUGACCCAUCCAUCCCACAGUACUGAGUGGAUUAUUGCUGUUGACAGAGUGCAGCGGUUCAAGUUCUGUGUCCUAGAUCUCAAAGUCUAAAUAAAAGAUCAAGAUCCCCAGAAAUUUAGGGGAGGUUGGCAUUUUUUCCCAAUGGGGGACUUUUCAGCAGGUAGGAGAGGAACAGCCAGGAUGAGUCAAGGUUCAAAAGAGAAGGAAACCUCACAAGGGAGGGUCUAACGCCCUGUGGUCAGAUGCUGUGCAGUCCUUGGCCCCUCGUCUUCCACGAUGUUAAGUUCGUCUUACAGAUUCACAGAAACCGCACAGGAAGGUACAAUGUCCAUGUUCGUUCUUUCAACUGAGUCAGCCAGUCUGGGUGUUACUCUAGCUUCUUCACUGGCUCACUGCUAGUUCUAGGAUAGGGUAGGGGAAGGGAUGGAAGUAACAGGGAAGAUUUCCAGAAGAAGCAGGGCAGGAAUGUAAGGUGGUCAGCAGCAGGCAGCCACAUGCUAAGUGCAAGGUGAAGAUUCCCCACCUUGGGGUCCUUAAAAAGGCUGUGAGUGCCUCUCCAUUGGUGGACAGCUGCUGGGCCCCAGAAGCCUGUGCUGUGUGGCUCUCUUUCAGCUAGGCACAGGGUCCCCACCGCUCUCUGGGCUGGGUGCCUGGGGCAGCAGAAGUUAGGUGCUCAGCCUGUGAAGUGACUGCCAGGUGGGAAGACCAUAAGAGCAUCACAGGAAAUAUCUGAAAGGAGUGGGCCAGGAAGGAAGGCCUAGGAAAGGUUAUUAUGAACUGAGUAUUCCCCCAUCCCCGGUGAUGCCUGACCAGAUCAGACUAUCAGAGAUUUGCAAAGUGCUGCUGCUAACAGAGGAGGGAUAAGGAACUUGGCAAGGAACACAACACUGGACCUGAGAAAGCCUCGCACGCCCAGAGUGGCCCUCCAUAGGAAACAAAGUCCCAAAGAGUUUGUCUUGGCUUCUGGUGGAGAAGAGGAUAAAAACAAGUUCACAGUUCAUGUCCAGUUCGAAGAUGGGUCUCAGGCCCCCGUUUACAUCCCGUAUCACGUUGCCAAAGGGACCAAGUCCAGUGGCUGGCCAGAGAGACGGCACCCUCCUGGAUCUCUCCUCUCCAGGGUUUAGGAUGGUGUGGUCUUCGCACAGUAGUGAAGUGAGACAGCAAGGGUGGAAAAAGAAAAAGCAAAAGAUUCUGUGCCCCAACCUUCCUCCCUUUUUUUACAUCACUUCUCAGCUGUGUGAAUGGAGGCACUUUCUGCAGUUCACUGUGGGUACAGGAUAAAGGCACUAAGCAACUAUUAAAUCAACUGGUUGGUUUCUUCAGGGAGCCUCAGGGGGAUGGCCAAAGUCUCUAGAGACUUCUCAUCAUGACUGCAAAAAGAAAUCAGCUCUGCUCUGGAUGCAUACGAUAGAUAAACAUUUUCAUUUACAUCUUAAGAAUGCACCAAAAACAUGCAGUACUGCACCUUUUUUUGUUGGUUUGUUUGUUUUGCUUGUGUUUAUCUUCAGCUAGAAAGAAUACUUGUUCUUAGGUGUUGUUACAUAUACCUUGAUGACUUGUUUAGUUUUCCACAGGGCUUCCCUUUAAGGGAUGGGCAUCUUGCUCCUCUCCGCCUAUACCUGCAAGAAACCUGACAUUUCCCUGAGCAAAGGCAGGAAAAUUGACUAAGUGCCCCCCACACCCACCCCCCCAUUAUUUCUUUGGGCCUUUCACCCCACAAUCUUGUAAUUUUUAUUAUUUUUUCUUUUUUUUUACUGAAAUCAUGCAUUAAUUAAAUUCAAGUUACACCUUAAUCAAACAGGCCAUAAUGCUGCAUAAGAGAACAUGCUGUGAGCUCCAAAAACUUAUUGUUCCCAUCUGACUAACAUAUGCACUUAAAUACAGUACUUUAUUUACUAAUAGUUAAUAAAUGAAGGAGUGCACUUUUGGUGAAUGCAAAUGAAAAAGGAUCUAUUUUUAGAAGAGUUGAUUCCAACGUAAGCUUAUCCCCUAUUGUCUGAGUUAGCGUUCUCAGCAUGCGAUUAUAAAAUAAAUAUUAUCAGGUUCAAACAUGCUUACAUUUAACUCCGUUUGUGCUGUCUUGCAAUAAGGAGGCUAAGGUUUUAUAUCCAGUUCUAGAGGCCGGGGGGCAGGGGGCGGGACUGGUGAGAAACAACCUGUGUUUGGCUCAUCUGCAGUUGAGAAACUUAGCAGCAGGGCAGAUGAAUCAAUUAAUUUAACUCAGUUCUCUUUUUCUUAGAGAACAAUUUGGGUUAGAAGGGGAAUGGGGCAGAGGGAAAACCCCUACAAAUCAGGACCAGGAUCAGAUGUAUAAGGUGCUUUGUGAACCAGUCUCAAGUAAUUUUUUCCCCUUGUAAUAUGCAGUUCAGUUGAUCAAAAUAAAAACAACAUUUGUUCAUUGCCCGUUUGGCUGGUAUAUCAUGUUACAUAUAAUACAUCAGAUGCACUGUCUUCAACGUACUGUGCAGUUUGUAAAGACUUUAUAUGGGAGUCCCAUGCAAAUUUUAAUUUUCUAUUUCUAAGUGAUCAUCUGGUUUUUAGUUACAAGAAAAAAAUCAAAGCCAAAGGAUUAAAAAUGUUUCGGUAUGGGGAAGCGUAUGAAUCUUAUUUUACCUAGGCUAGCUCAUGGACUGAAUUUUUUUAAACCAGUCUUAGAAAAGACACUUUCUUUUCCCAUUUGUUGAUAAAAUGAAAAUAGUCUCUUUUUUUAUGCAUCUGGAAAGCUUCUGGUUCAUCACCCCCAAAGUCCGCAAUGCAACAAUGCAUUGACAGU